rnacentral:misc_RNA from 1 species
AACAAGGCGUACCUGCGGACCUGCGGAGGGAUCAUUACAGAGUGUUUAACCCCCUAUAAAAUGGUGGGUCUAACCUCCCGUCCUUUGCUGGGUCCCCCUUCUGGAGGACUUUCAAAACUUUCUGCUUCGGCGGGGUAUACCCGCCGGAACACCCUCAAAAAAUUCUUGAUCAAAAUGGUUCGGUCCGAGAAACUUUUUGUGAAAAUUAGCGAAAAACUUUCAGCAAUGGAUCUCAGAUCG